GUUGUGCUGAUUGUCCAUCAUGAUUCUUUGAAGCAAGAUGGAUUCACAGCUCGUGAAGAGACUUGAGCAAAUUCUAGCUUAUGGAAGGCAAAUUGUGAUUUCGGUUGCUGAAACGAGAUCUGCGGUCAGAGAAGAAGAACAUACUUUCCUAUCAUCGAACCCACGGCCCAACCAUUGGAAGCUGCGACGUAGGGUUCUCCA
rnacentral:lncRNA from 1 species